GUCUUUGGGGGCAGCAGUGGGGAAUAUUGGGCAAUGGCCGAAAGGCUGACCCAGCAACGCCGCGUGGUGGAUGAAGCCCUUCGGGGUGUAAACACCUUUCUGGGGGAAGAUAAUGACGUA
rnacentral:rRNA from 1 species